UACGGAGGGUCCAAGCGUUAUCCGGAUUUAUUGGGUUUAAAGGGUCCGCAGGCGGGAAAAUAAGUCAGUGGUGAAAUCCUAUCGCUUAACGAUAGAACUGCCAUUGAUACUGUUUUUCUUGAGUGUAAUUGAAGUGGGCGGAAUGUGUCAUGUAGCGGUGAAAUGCAUAGAUAUGACACAGAACACCGAUUGCGAAGGCAGCUCACUAAAUUAUUACUGACGCUCAGGGACGAAAGCGUGGGGAGCAAACAGGAUUAGAAACCCGAGGUAGUCC
rnacentral:rRNA from 1 species